UGGGGAAUUUUGGACAAUGGGCGCAAGCCUGAUCCAGCCAUGCCGCGUGCGGGAAGAAGGCCUUCGGGUUGUAAACCGCUUUUGUCAGGGAAGAAAUCUUCUGAGUUAAUACCUCGGGAGGAUGACGGUACCUGAAGAAUAAGCACCGGCUAACUACGUGCCAGCAGCCGCGGUAAUACGUAGGGUGCAAGCGUUAAUCGGAAUUACUGGGCGUAAAGCGUGCGCAGGCGGUUUUGUAAGACAGAGGUGAAAUCCCCGGGCUCAACCUGGGAACUGCCUUUGUGACUGCAAGGCUUGAGUGCGGCAGAGGGGGAUGGAAUUCCGCGUGUAGCGUGAAAUGCGUAGAUAUGCGGAGGAACACCGAUGGCGAAGGCAAUCCCCUGGGCCUGCACUGACGCUCAUGCACGAAAGCGUGGGGAGCAAACAGGAUUAGAUACCCUGGUAGUCCACGCCCUAAACGAUGUCAACUGGUUGUUGGGAAGGUUCCUUCUCAGUAACGUAGCUAACGCGUGAAGUUGACCGCCUGGGGAGUACGGCCGCAAGGUUGAAACUCAAAUGAAUUGACGGGGUCAUAGCUGUUUCCUG
rnacentral:rRNA from 1 species